UACGAACUGUGCAAACGUUAUUCGGAUUCACUGGGCUUAAAGGGUGCGUAGGCGGCCAUGUAAGUAGGGUGUGAAAUCCCCCGGCUUAACCGGGGAACUGCGCCCUAAACUGUAUGGCUGGAGUGAGAUAGGGGUGUGUGGAACUUCCGGUGGAGCGGUGAAAUGUGUUGAUAUCGGAAGGAACGCCGGUGGCGAAAGCGACACACUGGGUCUCAACUGACGCUGAGACACGAAAGCCAGGGGAGCGAACGGG
rnacentral:rRNA from 1 species